rnacentral:rRNA from 1 species
UAGAGAUAGAAAUUAAUUAUUGAGUAAAAAGGCUUAGCUGUUGUGAAGUGACAAGAAGACCCUAAGAGUUUAAUUAGAGUAUUUAGGUGUAAUAUUGUGUGUAUGUAUAAUAUAAUUAAAUAUAAUGAUUUAACUGGGGCGGUUAAAAUAAUAACAAUUAUUGAUAGAUAACUAUAGUAGGAGGGCGAGUUAAAAUAAAUAUAUCCUAAUUGGAAAGCAGUAUAAAUUACCUUAGGGAUAACAGCAUAAUCUUUUUUGAGAGAUCUUAUUGACAGAAAGGUUUGUGACCUCGAUGUUGGAUUUGAAUAACUAUAAGGAGCAGAAUUUUUAUAAGUUGGUUUGUUCAACCAUUAAAU